UAUUGCAGUACCUCCAGGAACGGU
rnacentral:piRNA from 2 species